rnacentral:rRNA from 1 species
AUGGCGGACGACCACUACAGCUCCUCCGCCGCCUCCGCGCCGUCGCCGGCGGCGGCGGCGGCGGCCGAGGCCGCGGCGGUGGUGGGCUCCUCGGUGAUCCCGAUCGUCAACAAGCUGCAGGACAUCUUCUCGCAGCUGGGGAGCAGCUCCACCAUCGACCUGCCGCAGGUGGCCGUCGUCGGCAGCCAGAGCAGCGGCAAGUCGAGCGUCCUCGAGGCGCUCGUCGGCCGCGACUUCCUCCCGCGCGGCUCCGACAUCUGCACGCGCCGCCCGCUCGUGCUCCAGCUCGUGCACCAGCCGCGCCGCCCCGCCGACGCCGACAGGGACGAGUGGGGCGAGUUCCUGCACCACCCCGGCCGCCGCUUCUACGAGUUUCCCGACAUCCGACGCGAGAUCCAGGCAGAAACGGACAGGGAGGCUGGUGGUAACAAGGGCGUCUCUGAUAGACAGAUACGUCUGAAGAUCUAUUCACCAAAUGUUCUCAACAUCACUUUGGUCGAUCUGCCUGGAAUUACUAAGGUGCCAGUUGGCGACCAACCAACUGACAUCGAGGCCAGGAUAAGGACUAUGAUAUUGUCAUAUAUCAAGCACAAGACAUGCAUCAUAUUGGCUGUUUCUCCAGCAAAUGCAGAUUUAGCUAACUCUGAUGCUCUUCAAAUGGCUCGGCAAGCUGAUCCUGAUGGUUCUCGAACAAUUGGUGUUAUCACAAAGUUGGACAUAAUGGACAGGGGCACUGAUGCCCGGAAUUUUUUGCUGGGAAAUGUCAUCCCAUUACGACUUGGUUAUGUUGGCGUCGUAAACCGCAGCCAGCAGGAUAUCAAUUCAGAUGUCAGUGUCAAGCAGGCUCUGGCCCGAGAAGAAAGUUUCUUCCGUUCUCAUCCGGCAUACAACGGUCUUGCUAAGCACUGUGGGAUACCACAGUUAGCAAAGAAGCUAAACCAGAUCUUGGUCCAACAUAUAAGAACUAUUCUGCCUGGACUGAAGGCACGCAUAAGUUCUCAAUUGACAGCUAUUGCUAAGGAGCAUGCCUUUUAUGGUGAUCCAGUCGAGUCCAAGGCUGGGCAAGGCGCUAAGCUUUUGAACAUUCUAGCUAAAUACUGUGAUGCUUUCUCGUCUAUGGUAGAAGGAAAAAACGAAGAUAUAUCAACAAUCGAGCUUUCUGGUGGAGCAAGAAUUCACUAUAUUUUUCAAUCUAUCUUUGUCAAAAGUUUAGAGGGUGUUGAUCCUUGCGAGGAUGUCACUGAUGAAGAUAUCCGCAUGGCUAUACAGAAUGCAACUGGUCCUAGGAGUGCUUUGUUUGUACCUGAGGUGCCAUUUGAAGUCCUUGUGCGCAGGCAAAUCAGCAGAUUGCUUGAUCCAAGUCUUCAGUGUGCAGAUUUCAUAUAUGAGGAACUGGUUAAGAUGAGCCACCGUUGCCUUUGCAAUGAGCUGCAGCAGUUUCCUAUACUCAGAAGGAGCAUGGAUGAAGUAAUUGGGAAGUUCCUACGGGAUGGGCUUAAGCCGGCACAAGAUAUGAUAGCACACAUAAUUGAGAUGGAGGCCGAUUACAUAAACACAUCUCACCCAAGUUUCAUCGGUGGCAGCAAGGCUGUAGAACAAGCACAGCAACAAGUUAGAGCCGCUAGAUUGCCUGCAACAGUGGUUAGAAGAGAUGGAGUAGAUGCAGAUAGGCCACAGGCUUCUGAAAAAACCCAAAAAGCACGUGCAUUAUUGGGUAGAACUACUGGUGUAAAUGGAGUUAUCACCGACCAGAUCCAGCAGGGUGUCCGAUCUGCUGCUGAGGCAGAGAGACCAGGAUCUUCAGGUAGUGGAAGCACUUCUUUUUGGGGCUCAAUAUUCACCUCAAGCGAAGAGCGUGCACAUUCUUCAGCAAGAGGUAGCUCAACAAACAAAUCUUAUGCUUCAGCUACUCCCAACCUGGAACAGUCAUUCUCUUCAAUACAGUUAAAAGAGCCACCGCUAGUCCUCAAGCCUUCAGAAAGUCAUUCUGAGCAGGAGGACCUUGAAAUAGCAAUCACAAAAUUGCUGCUGCAGUCAUACUACAAUAUAGUCAGGAAAAAUGUUGAGGAUUUCGUGCCAAAAGCAAUCAUGCAUUUUCUGGUUAAUCACACGAAAAGGGAGCUGCAUAAUUUCCUUAUAACUACCCUUUAUAGAGAAGAGCUCUUUGGGGACAUUCUCAGAGAACCUGACGAAAUAACUACAAAGAGGAGGCAGAUACGCGAUACUCUUAAGGUCCUUCAGCAAGCCUACAAAACUUUGGACGAGAUACCGCUUGAAGCGGAGACAGUCGAGAGAGGCUAUUCCCUGGAUUCUGAUGCGACGGGUCUACCACGGGUCCAUGGGGUUUAUGAUGGAAGUUCACCAUAUUCGACUCCGAAGCAAACAAGGCCUAGGAAAUCAAGCCACUCCGGGGAGCAGCAACAACCUUUCAGUGGCAAUGGGUUUUGA